UACGUAGGGUGCAAGCGUUAAUCGGAAUUACUGGGCGUAAAGCGUGCGCAGGCGGUUAUGCAAGUCAGAUGUGAAAUCCCCGGGCUUAACCUGGGAACUGCAUUUGUGACUGCAUGGCUGGAGUGCGGCAGAGGGGGAUGGAAUUCCGCGUGUAGCAGUGAAAUGCGUAGAUAUGCGGAGGAACACCGAUGGCGAAGGCAAUCCCCUGGGCCUGCACUGACGCUCAUGCACGAAAGCGUGGGGAGCAAACAGG
rnacentral:rRNA from 1 species